AAACCUUCUUGAAAAUGAAAUAGCUCCUGUUCAUUCUCAUCCAUCUCUUAUCUUCUAUCGUGACUGUUAAGCCAGUAUCUGCAACCUACAAAGCCAUCUUUCACGAUGACAUCAUCCUCAGGAUGGACUUUGGAAGUGCAUAAGCAGCAGUGGAGAAGAACUCUCAGCUUCCAAGGAUUAUGCAGAGCAAACCCUCCAUUAUGGACCUGACUUUUCUUCCCUAAAAUGUUUAUGUGCGAAAGCAAUAGACUCCAAUCUUGGCUAAUGCACUAUUAUUUUGAGUUAUCUGUUACUCACAGCCAACUGUGCUGAAAAGUUUCCAAAUGCUCAGGCCAACUUUCUACACAAAUAGAGAUUGCUGCUCUUCUGAAUCAAAUCUGAGUAAUGUAGACCAUGGUUCUUGUUUUAGCAGAAAAUGCAUUUCUCCUACCUGUCAUUAAAAUGAUAGAUGGUCUCUCCAUUACACAGAUAUGUUCAGUGUGUGCUAAUGGUGUUCUUGGUGGGUGGACUAAAAUCAGAGAAUUACUCAUGAAGGUAGAAUCUUAACCAAACUAUCCCUCAAUUUUUACCUUAGCUCCCCAAACUCUCACCCCUUGAUCCUGGCCUUUGCUUUAAACCUGUUUUCUAGUGGGUCACUCUUUUUGUUUUUGUUUUGUUUUGUUUUGUUUUUUGUUUUUUUUUCCUGGAAGGUGUUGAACCAAAUUUUCAUAAAUUGGUAUAAUAUUAAGUUAAAAAGGAGAUUGCAUCCUGAUUUUUCUUUUUAUAAGAAAAAUACAGGAUGUGAAGCAUAGCUGCCUUUUUUAUUUUGAAAGUUUAAAUAAUCAGUAAAAAAAAUUACAACACAUUUUAUUCCUUUUUCUUUUCAUAAAUCACAUAUUUUAUAUCAAAUAGCUAUGCAAUGUGUGCAUAUAUGUUCUGCAUGAAGAAGACUAGACCAUAGAUUAUGAAAUUCAUUUUAGUUUCUAGUUUAUAAUUAAUAUGCAUUUUCCCUAACAGGAUUAUUUAUUUUACAGGAAGACAGAUAUAUUAAUAUAUAUGCAAAUAGAUGUUAAAUAAUUUGGAAAAUAUUUGGGUAUGGCACUGACUAUUACAUUUAUUUUAAAUAAAAGAACUUUUUGCUGGCAAUAAAUAAAUUAUGUUACAUGUAUUUAGAUUAUAGAAUCACAGUAUAGAAUAUAUUUAUAAUAUUUGCACUUAUUAAUGUUUAUAUUUUUUAUAAUGUUUGCACUUGUUAAAGCAAAACUUGGGGUAAGAAACUAAAAAUGGGAAUGAUUAACCUCUUAAAUAAAUAGACCAACAUAUGCCAAUUCAGUAUGUUUAUCAAAAUAAUUAAAUUCAUCAUGUAAAACUUUACGAAUACAGCUAAUAGAGUUAGUAAUAAAUCAGAGCUUUUAGAUUUUACAUAAGUGAAAAUUGGGCUGCAUCUGUAGUUCAUAGCUGAGAAAGUGUGUGGCAUGUACUGCAACAUAGCAAGCUCUUCAGCAUCAAAAAUAUUAAAGUUAAAUAAAGAGUUGAAAAUGGUCU
rnacentral:lncRNA from 1 species